GACCCUGUAGUAUAAUGGUUAAUACGCCAACUGUUCCUAGCGCGGGGAAAUAGGUAAGCUGGAGCUCCCCGUUCGAUUCGGGGUAAGGUCA